rnacentral:rRNA from 1 species
CCUACGGGAGGCAGCAGUGAGGAAUAUUGGUCAAUGGGCGCGAGCCUGAACCAGCCAAGUAGCGUGAAGGAUGACUGCCCUACGGGCUGUAAACUUCUUUUAUAAAGGAAUAAAGUGAGGCUCGUGAGCCUUUUUGUAUGUACUUUAUGUACAAGGAUCGGCUAACUCCGUGCCAGCACCUGCGGUAAUACGGAGCAUCCGAGCGUUAUCCGGAUUUAUUGGGUUUAAAGGGAGCGUAGAUGGGUUGUUAAGUCAGGUGUGAAAGUUUGCGGCUCAACCGUAAAAUUGCAAUUGAUACUGGCAGCCUGGAGUACAGUUGAGGAUGGCGGAAUUCGUGGUGUAGCAGUGAAAUGCUUAGAUAUCACGAAGAACUCCGAUUGCGAAGGCAGCUUACUAAACUGCAACUGACAUUGAUGCUCGAAAGUGUGGGUAUCAAACAGGAUUAGAUACCCUAGUAGUC